rnacentral:rRNA from 1 species
GUGCCAGCCGCCGCGGUAAUACGAAGGGUGCAAGCGUUACUCGGAAUUACUGGGCGUAAAGCGUGCGUAGGUGGUUUGUUAAGUCUGAUGUGAAAGCCCUGGGCUCAACCUGGGAAUUGCAUUGGAUACUGGCAGGCUAGAGUGCGGUAGAGGGUAGUGGAAUUCCCGGUGUAGCAGUGAAAUGCGUAGAGAUCGGGAGGAACAUCUGUGGCGAAGGCGACUACCUGGACCAGCACUGACACUGAGGCACGAAAGCGUGGGGAGCAAACAGGAUUAGAUACCCUGGUAGUCCACGCCCUAAACGAUGCGAACUGGAUGUUGGGCUCAACUUGGAGCUCAGUAUCGAAGCUAACGCGUUAAGUUCGCCGCCUGGGGAGUACGGUCGCAAGACUGAAACUCAAAGAAAUUGACGG